rnacentral:lncRNA from 1 species
UGGGAGUUCUGGCUGUGUCCGACUGGAACCAACUCCUUGGCUCUUGUGAACUGAUGAUACACAGAGCUUGAAAAAUCUAAAACACCUUGUGAGUAGACACGCCAAUGUUAUGUUGAAACCUUGCCUCUCAUUCAAGGGAAAGCAAACCUGAGUGUGUGAUGUUAGAAAAGAAAGUGAAGAGAUUGAAAGAAAACUGCUGAAUGUCAAACUCACAAGGACCUACUGAAAUUCAGGACAAAAUCCAAAUUCAGUUUGCAGGAAAUGGAGCAAAGCAAACAGAAAAGAGUGGCAGGGUGUUAAUUGCAACCUGA